rnacentral:rRNA from 1 species
UACGGGGGGAGCAAGCGUUGUUCGGAUUCAUUGGGCGUAAAGGGUGCGUAGGUGGCGCGGUAAGUCGGGUGUGAAAUUUCGGAGCUUAACUCCGAAACUGCAUUCGAUACUACCGUGCUUGAGGACUGGAGAGGAGACUGGAAUUUACGGUGUAGCAGUGAAAUGCGUAGAGAUCGUAAGGAAGACCAGUGGCGAAGGCGGGUCUCUGGACAGUUCCUGACACUGAGGCACGAAGGCCAGGGGAGCAAACGGG